rnacentral:lncRNA from 1 species
AGGACCGCCAGUGGCCACCAGACACUGAGGGUGGCAUGGAAAGGACUCCUCCGUGGAGGCUGCAGAAGGAACCAGCGCUGCCCACACCUCGGCUUUGGACUCUGGGCCCCAGCCCUCAGGGUGCUAUAGUUCUGCUGUUUCAAACCCACCCGCGGUGAUUGGCUGCCCAGCCUGGGAAGCUGGUCCAGCUCCCGGUGGGACUCAGGGCUCCGCUGUUGAAAGGAAGUCCUUAGUAGCUGUCAAACACCAGCCUGGCCCCGGGCUUAGGUUUCCACAGGAACUAAAACACCCUCCUGCCCCCGCGCCUGGUCUCCACCCUGGGAUGGCCCCAUUGCAUUCUUCCAAGUGGGUCUGGGACACUCCGAAGGCACAUUUGCUUGCAUUUCUUUCAAACAGCCUAGGAACAAGUGUCUGGUGUUCACCUGGAGGUGAUGAAGGCCGUGCUGAGUACAGGCUAGGACCAGUUGGGACCUGGGCCUCUCUCUGUCCACUGCUCAAGACCCUGUGCCCAGGCUGGGGAAGGAGCCAGAGUCUCCCUGCCCGCUCCUGUAUGCUGAGUUAUCUAGGGUCUCGUGGACAGCUGGUGUCCCCUCCCAGAAGCCCACUAAGCACUUUUGUAGUGUUUGUUGCUGUUAUUAUUAGUAGUAUUGUUAUCGUAUAAAGGAUGCCAAUUCUCCCUCUUUGUUCUAAGAGCACAAGGACAUCUUUGUGUAAGAGCCACUUUUGGAAAUGACUAAUCUGUCCACUUGGCCUUGUUCCUGACUGGGGUGGCAUUUCUGAGUUCUGCCCAGGACUUUGCCAUGACCAUCGGCCCCCAUUACUGCAGAAUCAGCAUCUCGGCCUUUUCCCAACUCAGUCACAUGUGGUCACGGCAGGAAGGUAGCCACGUCCUUCAGAGAGCUUACCAUGCCUCAGGGGACACCUCCUGGUACCACUGAUGUGAGGAGAACAUAAAUGUCUUUCUUUGUGAGAUGAAUAUCUGAUGGAAUGUACUAGACGAGUUUUGACGUGGGCAUUUUCAGAGUUUGCCUUCCUUGUCCCACUCAGAAGCAGAAGUCUGAUCCUCACUGGGCAUCAAAGAACGAUGCAUGUCUUGGGCUAGCCCCAGAAGCCUGCCGGCUCUCAAAUUCCUUGCUUCUGCACAAUUGUGGAGACCCCCUGAGCCUGAUUCUCAGACGCGACCUUUGGUUCUCACUGACGUGGCAGUCUGCUCACCCUG